rnacentral:lncRNA from 1 species
CCGACUGAGAUGGGUAUGUAUCUUAGAACUGCGUUUCUAAACCAGCCAUGCAGGACAUUGUAAGUUGUGACUGACUUAUUUAUCUUUUGAAUCAGGGACAAAGAAUUCGCUAUGCAAGGUGUUCAACCGUUGGGCAAAGAAACCGAAGCGGUUGGUGUGCUAGAAUCUAGCAUGCACUCCUUGAGCAUUGCUGAAGAGCAGCAGCAUGACUCUCUGGAUGAGGAGGAGGCGAAUUAUAUGAGGAAUAGCAUUAUUGACAUGGAUGAUUGCUGGGAGGAUCCUAAUCAGAAGGGCUUGGAAGAAGAUCAGGACAGCUCUGAUGAAGACUAUAGUCCUUUUCUUCAUCUACGGUAUGUUUCAGUUUCUAGUUGCAUUUCAGGUUGAACUACUACUAUGUUGAAGGGUGCAAUCACAAAUUCAGGAGAAGACAACGUUUUAGGAGAACAUGAUGCAGUUGUUCCUUUUUGAUCUUCAAAUUGAUUCUAUGUACAUAUCUUGCUGCUUUGCAGUGCCCCAGCUAUGACUGCCAACAUCAACCAACUCCUGGAGAUAAGCAUGGAUAAAGCCGUGCUUGAUGUGGCAACACCCAAUCCUCCAGGUGAGGACAUACAAGAAACUCCAGAACAACAAAAAGUUUCAGGUGUUUUUCAGGACAACUUCAGAUUUGGAGAAUUUCCAAAACCACAUACUCAUGUAUGCAGGAAAGCGGUUUGCCUACAGCCCCCCUGUUUACAAAACCCAGACAUUGCUUGCAGCAAUCGAUUACAACUAUCACAACCACCGCAUUCCUGCACGUGGCAAGGAUGGACACCGAAUGUACAGACAGUACUUCAACAAGAAGUCCGAGCGCUGGAGUGUAUAUGUGUUGAAGGAGAGAAAAGGCUACCAUUACAUUCCAGACCUGCAGAAGGCCAUCCUUGCUGAGAGGCUGGGAAGUGGAAUGGGCCUUCCCAGAAUACAGGGUCUAAGGCCUGAUGAUCCCAGGCGCUUGGGUUUGCUUGCCGCAACGCAGCCUCCAUCCACAUUUGAACUUGUCGCGGCUCAGGUUUCACGGGGAGAGGGUGGUGCCCAAAGUGAAUUCUAAACUAUUCCAUUCUUUCAUAGCUGUGUAUGUAAAUAAUUUGCAAAUAAUUCAAGAGUCGUAAAAAGAAAUAUUUUUUUAUUUAUAUGUAAAUAAAAAACAAUGA